UGGGGAAUAUUGGACAAUGGGCGAAAGCCUGAUCCAGCCAUGCCGCGUGUGUGAAGAAGGUCUUCGGAUUGUAAAGCACUUUAAGUUGGGAGGAAGGGCAGUAAGCGAAUACCUUGCUGUUUUGACGUUACCGACAGAAUAAGCACCGGCUAACUCUGUGCCAGCAGCCGCGGUAAUACAGAGGGUGCAAGCGUUAAUCGGAAUUACUGGGCGUAAAGCGCGCGUAGGUGGUUCGUUAAGUUGAAUGUGAAAGCCCCGGGCUCAACCUGGGAACGGCAUCCAAAACUGGCGGGCUAGAGUAGGGCAGAGGGUGGUGGAAUUUCCUGUGUAGCGGUGAAAUGCGUAGAUAUAGGAAGGAACACCAGUGGCGAAGGCGACCACCUGGGCUCAUACUGACACUGAGGUGCGAAAGCGUGGGGAGCAAACAGG
rnacentral:rRNA from 1 species